UGGGGAAUUCGAGUUCAAAGCUCAUAGGAAUGUGCUUGCCUCGUUUAGUGAGUAUUUUGGUGCGAUCUACAGAAGCACUUCUGAGAACAAUGUCUUUCUUGAUCAGAGUCAGGUGAAGGCUGAUGGAUUUCAGAAACUGUUGGAGUUUAUAUACACAGGAACUUUAAAUCUUGACAGGUGUUUGAGGUGCGGGAGUGCCCAAUGGGAAAAAGAAGAAACUCUGUUGAUUUAAUAGUGCUCCCAUUUCCAACCACAAAGAGCAGUAUUCAGACUCCUUCCUGAUCUUCAUUCGGGGACAGUAACUUCGUUGGAAUGUAAAUGGUGGUGACUCUUGUUAUCUCUGUAAAGCUAUCAUUACUAAUGUUUAAGUUUGGUCCAAAGAGGUAAAAUACUUCUCUAAUAUGCUUAAUGCUGUUAGGGCACUAACAAAGUAUCUAAGGAAUCUGAGAAUGCAGGCACCGUAUGUCUCUCAUACAUAAUGAACUGCAUACUUAUAAUAAAACCAAUGCAUUUAUUCGCUGUGGGGAAACAGGUAGAGGAGAUAAAAGGAAGAGAACCCAAAUUACCCCGUCUUCUUUCUUGCAUCUCUAAGGAAGGUGUAAAUAUCAAUAGAUCAUAAUUUUAUGACACAGAAAAGCUAGGGGUUUUAGAAUUAAAUCUCACCUGCCAGUCACUUUGUCUCUUUGAAUGCAGCCUGGGCCAUAGUUUCCCCUUCUGUAAAAAUGAGAUGGUUAUAAUUACCGUGGUAUUUCCAUGAAGAUUGAGGAUUUACUUGAAGGCCCAUCUCCCAAUGAGUAUUUUAAAUAUUAUAUUCUUAUCUAGGGGGAAGAUUCAAUUUGCAAACAGAUUAUGUUCCAAAAGUUAAUUUGUAGUAUGUUUGGGAACUUGGGGUCUGUUUUCCCAGGGAAUAAAAAUGUUCCCUAAACUGGUGAUUGAAUUUCCAAGCCAGCCUAUAAAUCUACUUAAUCUGUAAUAGCUGAAAUAAUAAAAAACAAUUUUUAUAAUAAAAGACAAUUUUUGAAAAACUAUUGUAAUGCUAAAUUUAAAAAGAGGAAACAUAGUUGGCACUUGAGGCAAAGCAGGUUUAGUGACAGUAGUAUACUUUCAAAGACCUGAGAGAUUCAUGUCACUAGUUAUUUUUAAUUCAAUUUCAAUUUUUACUUUUAAUAAAGAUGUAGUAAUAGCAUUAUAUUUAUAUUACUAGCUAUGAUUAAAACCCUUUUUUGGUUCAGUUAAUGAAGAGGAAAAAGGAAAAAUAUAUUUUUUCCUGAUGAGUUAAAUAUUUGGGGAAAAUGGCAAAUAGGAAGGUUACUUGCAGCAGGGGGUGGGGGUGGGGUAUGUGUGUGUAUCAAAUAAUUAAAAGGGCCAUAUUUUUAGUGUCAGUACUGGCUCAACUUUGAUCUUACAGCUAAGAAAAUUGAUGCACCAAAGAUGCUAACUUACCCUAAUUAAUUCAGCUAGUAAGGCUAGGGCCAAUGCUACAGUAAUCAAACAACCUCUCAUUGCAUUGUUAACUUCUGGAGGACAAGGGCUAUUUGAUAUUUCUUAAUAGCCCUCUUCAUACCACACAUGGUAGCUGCUCAGUAAAUACUGACUGGAAUGUUGAACUUAAGUCUUUAUAUUUAACUCUAAUGUGACAAACUCUCCAGCUAACUUGGGUUGAAUAUCACAAAAAAAGUAAGUGGGAGAGUUGCUAGAGGAAGUUUAGUGCAUUCUAAAUCCUUGUUCUUCCAAGUGUGAUUGAUAGACCAGCAGCAUUGGCACCACCAGAGAGUGUUAGAAAUGGAGACACUCAGGUCCCACUACAGACCUACUGGAUUUGAAUCUACAUUUAACAAGAUCCCUGGGUGAUUUCACAUGCACAGGAAAGUGAGAAGCAGAGGAAGAUAAUAGGAAAAAAAUUUUUUUAGUCUUCCUGUUGCCAAUCCAGAAAAGUUGCUAUCUGAAGAGGCCUAGGGAUGAAUGGCAGGAGGCAGUACAGUGGCAACACAACUUUUGUGUUCCAAGUGUUUUUUAAAGCAGGCAGAAAUUUUAUUUUACUUUUCUGUAGUUGUACAUAGGUAGCUGUGAAUAACCACUGUUUUUCAUCUUUUCAAGUUCUGUGAAACUGGAGAUUUUUGCCUAAACAUUAUUCUGAGUGAGUGAAUGAAUUUCGUAAACUUGUUUUCUUAGUUAUGCCUUUUUCAUCAUUCUACUUCAUUCGGUCUUUAAAAGACAUUGAAAUAUAUGUGCACCUCUGUUUGAGAAACAGUUUUCCUUUUAUCAAAAUAUUGUCAUUUAGCCUUGUUUCCUUACAGUUGGAAUGUUAAAGAAAUUCAUCAGGCUGCUGACUAUCUCAAAGUGGAAGAGGUGGUCACUAAAUGUAAAAUAAAGAUGGAAGAUUUUGCUUUUAUUGCUAAUCCCUCUUCUACAGAGAUAUCUAGUAUUACUGGAAACAUUGAAUUGAAUCAACAGACUUGUCUUCUUACUCUACGAGAUUAUAGCAGUCGGGAGAAAUCAGAAGUGUCUACAGAUUUAGUUCAGGCAAAUCCUAAACAAGGAGCUUUAGCAAAGAAGUCAUCUCAAGCUAAAAAGAAGAAGAAGGCCUUCAACUCCCAGAAAGCAGGGCAGAAUAAAACAGUGCAAUAUCCCACUGACAUUUUAGAGAAUGCAUCUGUUGAAUUAUUCCUAGAUGCAAAUAAACUGUCCACACCUGUAAUAGAACAAGUUGCACAAAGAAAUGGUAAUUCAGAACUCGAGUUGACGUCAGUUGUGGAAAAUACUUUUCCAGCACAAGAUAUUGUACAGACUGUUUCAGUGAAACGGAAACGUGGAAAAUCACAGCCAAACUGUGCUCUGAAAGAACACUCUAUGUCUAAUAUAGCCAGUGACAAGAACUCUUACGAGCUGGAGAGCUCUGGGGAAGAGCUGGAUCAGAGGUAUUCCAAAGCCAAGCCAAUGUGUAAUACAUGUGGGAAAGUGUUUUCAGAAGCCAGCAGCUUGAGAAGGCACAUGAGAAUACAUAAGGGAGUCAAACCUUAUGUCUGCCACUUGUGUGGAAAGGCAUUUACACAGUGUAACCAGCUGAAAACACAUGUAAGAACUCAUACAGGUGAGAAGCCAUACAAAUGUGAAUUGUGUGAUAAAGGAUUUGCUCAGAAAUGCCAGCUAGUCUUCCAUAGUCGCAUGCAUCAUGGUGAGGAAAAACCCUAUAAGUGUGAUGUGUGCAAUUUACAAUUUGCAACUUCUAGCAAUCUCAAGAUUCAUGCAAGGAAGCAUAGUGGAGAGAAGCCAUAUGUCUGUGAUAGGUGUGGACAGAGAUUUGCCCAAGCCAGCACGUUGACCUAUCAUGUUCGUAGGCAUACUGGAGAAAAGCCCUAUGUGUGUGAUACUUGUGGGAAGGCAUUUGCUGUCUCUAGUUCUCUUAUCACUCAUUCUCGAAAACAUACAGGUGAAAAACCAUACAUAUGCGGUAUUUGUGGGAAAAGUUUUAUUUCCUCAGGAGAGCUCAACAAACACUUUCGAUCCCAUACAGGAGAAAGACCAUUUAUCUGUGAAUUAUGUGGAAAUUCUUACACAGAUAUUAAGAAUUUAAAAAAGCACAAAACCAAAGUCCAUUCAGGUGCAGAUAAAAUUCUAGAUUCUAGUAUAGAGGAUCGUCCCUUAAAUGAACAAGAUUCCAUACAAAAAAGUCCUUUAUCAGAAACUUUGGAUGUGAAGCCUUCUGAUAUGACUUUACCACUAGCUCUUCCACUUGGGACUGAGGACCACCACAUGCUCCUGCCUGUCACCGAUAAUCAGUCUCCUACAUCAGAUGCAUUGUUGAGGUCAACUGUGAAUGGGUAUUCAGAACCACAAUUGAUUUUUUUACAGCAAUUAUACUGAUUUUGUGAGGAAUAUGGAAUUGCUAAGACGUCUCUGGUAGUAAACAUAAACAUCUAUGGAGUUUAUUGGAAUGUGAAGAAAUUAAAGAAAAUUAAAAGACUCAACCUCUUUAAGAAGUCUGCUGAAAUGGAGAGGUUAUAUUUAAAUCACAUCUUCAUUAAUCCAAGCAUCUAGUGAACAAAAUUUCUUUUUGAAAACUGCUACAGUGAUGUCCUAAUUCUAUAAGUGCAGUAGUUACCAAAUUUCCUCUACUAUGAUGGUAAUUAGCAUUUUACCUUUGCAUAGAUUAGCUAGCAAAUUUAUUUUUAGUAUUGGAUUGGAGUGGUUAAGGCUGAUUUACAGUGCUUUUCUUCAUCACAUUAUCUGCUUUUUAGCUAAAAUAAUUUUAUUUUAAAGUGACAUGGCAUGAUGCUCUACCAGAAAGACAUUUCUCAUUAUACUAAUCUUUGUCAUAAUAUGCAUAUAUUUUAGUUGUAUCUGGUAUCAUUCUAACAGUAACAUUUUAGUUAAGUCCAUCUUCAAAUGUACUUGUUACAAUGCAGUAUUCUGGAGAGAUAUUCUUAAUUACUUAAGUAUAAUUAAGUUUUUUUAAAGUCUGUUUAGGAUGUUGAAGAUCUUAGAAACAUUUUCUAAAUUAAUUUUCUAUUUGUAUUAGAUUAUGCCUCUUGUAUUAUUAGAUUUUAGACUUUUUAAAAAGAAACAUAGAUUAUAUACAAAUGACUUUUUGCUGUUUUUAAAUAGUAUUUUUGUUUUAUGUUUAAUUUCAUAGGAUGAUUUUGAUAGCAAAUUUUAGAGAAUUUUAUUUUUUUCAAAAGAAAAGGUUUGAUCAGUCCCUGUUCCAACGCUUUAUGUUUCAGUUCUAUAAAAAUUGUGGAAAUGAUAACACUUGAGAUGUACUUAUAUAAAGACAAUGUACAUGUACUCUUUUUUUUAAAAUGUCCUAGAAUAAUAGUUCUAACAUUGAUGCCUAGCAGAAACAUAUUUUUAAAAUAAUGGUAUCCAAGCUUCACGGAACCUUAGGCCUACUGAAUCAAUCUCUGGGACAUAUAUAUAUAUAUACUGGAAAAGCCCCAUAGUUAUUUUAAUGUAUACCAAACAUUGAGAACUUAUCCUAAACACUUCUUGGUGUCUUCCUUUGGGAAGUGCUUAAAAAUGAAGUUCUUGAAAUAACUAUGUCUUUACUCAGAGAUUUUGAGUCUUUAGAACUUCGCCAGAAAUACCACCAAGUAAAAGAAAUUAUAUUUUAAUACAGUUUCUAUAAAUUCUCCAUUUUUACUCAUUAUUAUGAACAAUAUUGAGAUUUAAUUUUUGGAGCAUUAAUUUUUUGAGACAGUGGUAUGGUGUGCUCUUCUUUCCUCUGCAACCUCUGUCCCCAUUCAUUCAAGAAAGAUUUAAUGUAUUUGCUUAAGGAAUUAAUUAUCAUGUGAACAUAGUAACCAUUCAGAAAUAGAGUAUUUAAUUUAAAGAACAUACUAAAAUAAACACAAUGGAUGUGACAGAUAUUUGGAUUAAAAUAUCCAGCCAGUAUUUCAAAUGCUGGAGAAUUUGUUGAAAUCAGAAUAUGUAAAGCUACAAUGAUAAACAAGGUAAACUCCACCCUUAAGUUUACAGUCAAAUGGGAAAGACAAGCCUGAAUCUAACUAGCAAUAAAACAAGGCAGAUCAUCCAGUGCUAUAGUGUAGGGAGGCAAGAGCAGUCAUCAGGAAUUGGGUGGACAAAGAAAGGACAUUGCUUCCCUAGGUAGGCAAACACGAAGAGGUGACUGUUGAGAGGAAUUUUCACACAGCUGACUGAAAUUGGCAGAAUGGAGAGAAGAUGUGAAAUGGGGAGAUGAUGAGAGUCAAAGAUGUCCAACACUGUGCCUACACCCUCCUACUUGAAGUAGUCUGUGCUGAAGGAGUAGGAUUUGAUACCCAAGUUUAUAACCCACGAUCUCACACACCCAGCCACAGUUGACUGAUGAAGGGCAGGGAUUCGACAGCCACAUUUGUGAUACAUGAUUCCAAACUUGUAACUACAGCUGGCCAUCCUCACCUUACCAGGGAGAAUGAAUUCUUAGGUCAAACUGAUCUGCUUAGAUUCUGUUUCAAAAAUUUGAGCUAUGAAAUUCAGAGGCUAUUAGGUAUUUUGGUAGAUAAGCAAAUGAAAAGGUCAUUGAACUGGCCAAGAGUCAGUGAAGCAAGCCAAAGUCUGAAGGAAAUUACGAAUGAGCAGAGAAACCUGAUCUAUAGACCAAAGCAAGGGUGCAGUAGGCAGUAGGUUUGCAGAACCAUGCAACUGAGGCCCUACAAGACAGGUGUCGCUUGGGUUUCUAGCUUUGCAGUGCCAUUCUGGAGUUUGCACAGCUAUGUUUCAUUUCUUUAUCCCUGGAUACCAGUGAUUAUAUAUUCCUACAGUAAAUUCCAUUUUUUUCUUAAACAGGCUUGAGUCAGUUUCUGUUUCUUGCAGUUAGACAGCCCCACUUUAACACCUAAGUUUGAUCCUUAGUGAUUUAGAAGGUGGUGGUGCUUUUAACUGAGAUAGGGAAGAUGAGAUUGUGGAAAAGACCACUUUGUUUUGGGUGCAUUGAAUUUGAUCGGCGGUGAGAUACCCAUGUGAAAAUGUCUAACAGUAGAUGGAAAUGGGGCCUGAGAUCUAGGAGAGGUUAAAGCUAGAGAUAAUAGAUCUUACAGCAUAAAGCUAAUAAUUAUUGUGUUUAAAAUGAUUAAGGCAGCCAUGGAAUUUAGCAUUUACAGAAUAAAAGGUGAGGAUAAAAUCCUAGCAUAAAUUCAUUUUAAGUAUAAACAAAAGACAGAAAAGGAGAUGGGCAGUGAUAACAGAAAGAAAAUCAGGGUGUUACAUACAGAUUACACAGAGAGAAAAGUGCCUGUGUACUGGUUACAAAGUACAGAGAAAAUUAAAUAAGUGCAAAUUAAAGACAGCACUGGGUUGGGUGAUUGGAGCGUGGUGAUCCUUGGAGAAAGCUGUGGUAAUUGUAGAAGUAGAAGCCAGGUAGGUAAGGUUUGAGUAUUAAAUGAAGACAUAAUAGAUAGUAGUGUUUAGUUUGAAAAGCAGAGCAUAUAGACCAAACAAAGAUGAUUAAUUUUAUCAAAUAUCCAGAAAGUACAAACCACUGUUUUAUGCUUUUUUUACUUUCAAGUUUGAAAUACUGUAAAAUGAGCAUAAAUCUGCAACACUAUAAUAAUGAGGCUGCGUUUGAACUAGAUCUUAAAAAAAUGAUUGCCAAGAGGAAAAUGGAAGGAAACUUAUAUAACAUGGUUGCAGAUUUACUCAUUACAGUUCAGAUGUGCGAAGGAAGUAGAAUUUUCCUAUAGAACUUUCAUGUCCUUCCUCUUGAAUUCUUGAAGGAAGUCUGGACAACACUUAGUCCUACCCAGUUUAAAGCAUAGUGUGAUGUAAAGGGGAUAGAAUUUAUGUAUCUUAAGGUAAUGCUUUUACUUUUGGGAAAUUGUUGUCUUAUUUGUGCCCUUUGUCUUCUCCCUAAAAUGGUAUUCAGAUAUAUGAAUAAAACGGCAUUGGGGAAGACAGUGUCUUCACCUCUUCCCUUCUCUGGGUAUCUGACUGGCCUCUGAUGCACUAAGCAACAGCUUGUAAGAUAGGUGAUCAGGUUUUUCCUAGCUGGUUAGAGCCCAGUAGUUUUGGGCUGAAAUGGCCUCACCUUAGUUCUUUUGGGUUUGAAGAACUGAGACACACAACUUUGUCUCAAGCAGUCCAAUGUAGGUAAGGCUGCAAGUGUAACACAUGCCACCCCUCUGCAGGCUCAAGGUAAGCCUUCUUGCUUUCCACUCAGCUACCUUCUGAGUCUCCACUUGGGAGAAUAUAGAAACUUGUGGGUUCCUUCCGUAGCACACAGCAACAGAGAGCAGUGUGGGAAAGCACACCUCAUUGCUAAGGUUUGGUGUGGCUGUGACCUAGCUUGAGGGGCUCUCUUUCCAGAAUCCUGUAGACUCUUCUACUACCUAGCAUAUUAUGGACUACUUCAAAGCAAUAAAAGAUGAAUGGACUACUGCUAUACUGAACAACAUGAAGGAAUCAUAUUAGUAUGAAAAGGAAGUCAGAUAGAAAAAGAGUGUAUACCUCCAUUACAUAAAAUUAAAAAAACAGGCUAAACUAUUCUGGUGUUAGAAAUCAGGAUAGUAGUCUAUUUGAAGAGGGUUGGAGGAGUUUCUGGAAAGCUUGUGUCAUUUACUGUCUUUAUCUGGGUCAUGGUUAAAACAUGAAUUAGCUUUAUGAUAUUUAAAAGAAGGAUUGUGUAUUUAAAAGAAGGAUAUAUAUAUAUAUAUAUAUUUUAAACUAAUUUGAAGAGCAAAAAAACCAGAGCACUAAUUCUUAAACUUUAAUGAGAUUAAAGAUGACCUUGAUUGUAAAAUGCAGAUUCCCCAAACUAGCCUCAGAAAUUUUGAUUCAGUAGGUCUGACUCUAAGACUCUGUAUUUUUAACACUUGCCCCAGGUGAUUGAUGCUUCAUACUUUCAAGACUACUGGUUUAACUAUCUUACUUUCUGGACAUUCAAGUAUAAGAAGUUUGUCAUACUAAUUGUUAUUCAAGUCUGAGUUUAUUGGAUCUCUUAAUUGCUAGUAGUAGCCUUUCCUCACCAGCCUAAUGUUUUUCAAAUGUAAUGACAGUUUAAAAUGUUCAUAGUUUUUCCUAUACUGUGGUUUUAUUGCAUCCAUUGAAUUCUGCGAUUUUUCAAAUUUGAUUAAAAGACAAAGAGUUCUGUUUA